rnacentral:rRNA from 1 species
GAUGAACGCUGGCGGCGUGCCUAAUACAUGCAAGUCGAACGAACAGACGAUGCGCUUGCUCCUCUCACGUUAGCGGCGCGCGGGUGUAUCACGCGUGUAUAACCUCCCUAUCAGACUGGUAUCACUUCGGAAAACCGGCGCAUAUACCAUAUAAUAUCUUGAACCGCAUGGGUCGAUAGUGAGAGACGGUUUUUCUGUCACUUCUAGAUGGAUCCGGGCCGCAUUAGCUAGUUGGUAAGGUAACGGCUUUCCACGGCAACGAUGCGUAGCCGAACUGAGAGGGUGGUCGGCCACCCGGGAACGGAGACACGGUCCAGAGGCCUACGGGAGGCAGCAGUAGGGUAUCGGACGCAAUGGGCGGAAGUCUGACGGAGCAACGCCGAGUCAGAGAUGAAGGUCUUCGGAGCGUAAUACUCUGUUAUGAGGGAAGAACAAAUGUGUAAGGAACUAUGCACGUCUUGACGGUACCGAAUCAGAAAGCCACGGCUAACUACGUG